AUCUUGACCGUGUCCAUUGAAAUGAGUGGAUGACAGCAUUAAUCAUAUACUUAAAGGUACUUUCCUGCUCUGCUCCGCAGGUGGUCUCAGUUUUUCCUGAAGGGUGUGAGUGUGCAGAAGAAACCACAGGAGCCCAGUGUUUCUGAAAGUGAGGUCUUCGACUCUGUGCUGUUUAAUAAUAAGAUAGCAAAUAGAUUUUGGUGCAAGUUCAACUUUUGGGCAUGCUGAAGAAAUUAGAGUUAAUAGUUAAAUAAAUAAAUCAUGUUCAAUACCUUG